UUUCUUUAUGAUGCAUACGAUUCUUUCGACGAAUGGCUAGCAGUUACCCUGCGAUGCUGCCUCUUCAAAUAUACCAUCUUUCGGGACUGAUU
rnacentral:snoRNA from 1 species